UGGGGAAUUUUGGACAAUGGGCGAAAGCCUGAUCCAGCAAUGCCGCGUGUGUGAAGAAGGCCUUCGGGUUGUAAAGCACUUUUGUCCGGAAAGAAAUCCUUGGCUCUAAUACAGUCGGGGGGAUGACGGUACCGGAAGAAUAAGCACCGGCUAACUACGUGCCAGCAGCCGCGGUAAUACGUAGGGUGCAAGCGUUAAUCGGAAUUACUGGGCGUAAAGCGUGCGCAGGCGGUUUGCUAAGACCGAUGUGAAAUCCCCGGGCUCAACCUGGGAACUGCAUUGGUGACUGGCAGGCUAGAGUAUGGCAGAGGGGGGUGGAAUUCCACGUGUAGCAGUGAAAUGCGUAGAGAUGUGGAGGAAUACCGAUGGCGAAGGCAGCCCCCUGGGCCAAUACUGACGCUCAUGCACGAAAGCGUGGGGGAGCAAACAGGAUUAGAUACCCUGGUAGUCCACGCCCUAAACGAUGUNAACUAGUUGUUGGGGAUUCAUUUCCUUAGUAACGUAGCUAACGCGUGAAGUUGACCGCCU
rnacentral:rRNA from 1 species